CCCUGGCUGGGCCAGUCAGGAAGAAAGAACUGUCGGCAAAAUUUCUUUCAUGCGAUUCUGCUGGCUGCUAGCAGAAUAUAUUAUAUAUCACCACACCUUUGCUCAGACCUA
rnacentral:lncRNA from 1 species